AGAGUUUGAUCAUGGCUCAGAUUGAACGCUGGCGGUAUGCUUAACACAUGCAAGUCGAACGGUAGCAGGCCUUCGGGCGCUGACGAGUGGCGGACGGGUGAGUAACGCGUAGGAAUCUGCCUGGUAGUGGGGGACAACGUGGGGAAACUCACGCUAAUACCGCAUACGCCCUACGGGGGAAAGCGGGGGCUCUUCGGACCUCGCGCUAUCAGAUGAGCCUGCGUUAGAUUAGCUAGUUGGUAGGGUAAAGGCCUACCAAGGCGACCGAUCUAUAGCUGGUCUGAGAGGACGAUCAGCCACACUGGGACUGAGACACGGCCCAGACUCCUACGGGAGGCAGCAGUGGGGAAUAUUGGACAAUGGGCGCAAGCCUGAUCCAGCAAUACCGCGUGUGUGAAGAAGGCCCUAGGGUUGCAAAGCACUUUCAAUUGGGAGGAAAACCUGCCGGUCAAUACCCGGCAGCUUGACAUUACCUUUAGAAGAAGCACCGGCUAACUCCGUGCCAGCAGCCGCGGUAAUACGGAGGGUGCGAGCGUUAAUCGGAAUUACUGGGCGUAAAGCGUGCGUAGGCGGUUCGUUAAGUCAGAUGUGAAAGCCCCGGGCUCAACCUGGGAACUGCAUUUGAAACUGGCGGACUAGAGUUUAGUAGAGGGGAGUGGAAUUUCAGGUAGCGGUGAAAUGCGUAGAUAUCUGAAGGAACACCAGUGGCGAAGGCGACUCCCUGGACUAGAACUGACGCUGAGGUACGAAAGCGUGGGUAGCAAACAGGAUUAGAUACCCUAGUAGUCC
rnacentral:rRNA from 1 species